rnacentral:rRNA from 1 species
GUGUGGCAUACGGCUCAGUAACACGUAGUCAACAUGCCCAGGGGACGUGGAUAACCUCGGGAAACUGAGGAUAAACCGCGAUAGGUCACUACUUCUGGAAUGGGUAAUGACCCAAACCUAUAUGGCCCCUGGAUUGGACUGCGGCCGAUCAGGCUGUUGGUGAGGUAAUGGCCCACCAAACCUGUAACCGGUACGGGCUCUGAGAGGAGGAGCCCGGAGAUGGGCACUGAGACAAGGGCCCAGGCCCUAUGGGGCGCAGCAGGCGCGAAACCUCUGCAAUAGGCGAAAGCUUGACAGGGUUACUCUGAGUGAUUUCCGUUAAGGAGAUCUUUUGGCACCUCUAAAAAAUGGUGCAGAAUAAGGGGUGGGCAAGUCUGGUGUCAGCCGCCGCGGUAAUACCAGCACCCCGAGUGGUCGGGACGUUUAUUGGGCCUAAAGCAUCCGUAGCCGGUUCUACAAGUCUUCCGUUAAAUCCACCUGCUCAACAGAUGGGCUGCGGAAGAUACUAUGGAGCUAGGAGGCGGGAGAGGCAAGCGGUACUCGAUGGGUAGGGGUAAAAUCCGUUGAUCCAUUGAAGACCACCAGUGGCGAAGGCGGCUUGCCAGAACGCGCUCGACGGUGAGGGAUGAAAGCUGGGGGAGCAAACCGGAUUAGAUACCCGGGUAGUCCCAGCUGUAAACGAUGCAGACUCGGUGAUGAGUUGGCUUUAUGCCAACUCAGUGCCGCAGGGAAGCCGUUAAGUUUGCCGCCUGGGGAGUACGGUCGCAAGACUGAAACUUAAAGGAAUUGGCGGGGGAGCACCACAAGGGGUGAAGCCUGCGGUUCAAUUGGAGUCAACGCCGGG